AGCAACCCAAGGCUGACAAGAAAGACUACGACGAGGUUGACAUGGCCAAUAUUCAAAAGAAGAAAGAAGAGGAAAAGGUAAUA